rnacentral:misc_RNA from 1 species
AAAAAAAGGGAAAUGAAAUAUUUUUAAAUUUUAUUUUCUUAGGCUAGUUCAAAUAUAUUUUAAAUUAAGCAUUUUAGAUUCUCUUACUCUACAAGGAAUCAGAGUUUUUAUAUGCCCCUUUUUACAAUAGCAACAAUGCCCAUUAGUUAAUCUCCCAAGCAUGUGCUAUAGAAGCAUACCCUAUCUAUGGAAUUUAAUUAUUUAAAGACCAUUUCAUUGUUUGGUAGGCAAUCUGCAAAUGGCAAACUUUUUGUGUUCAAAAUAUUCUAUUUCCUAGGAAGUUUACACUUCUAUGGAAUUUACUUUCUAGGAAGUAUAUAUAAAUGUGUUUGGUAUAUAAAUUAACUUCUCAGAAAAUAAUUUGCUUCUAAAUUGUAAAAUACUAUAAUAUAUAAAUGUGUUUAGUAUACAAAUUAACUUCUUAGAAAGUAAUUUGCUUCUAAAUUGUAAAAAAAUAAAAAUAAAAAACUUGUAAUAUAAUUUAAAAGUUAACUAAUCAAAGGACAAAUUGAUAAAUUACAUUGUACUUAAUUAGAAAAGUGCAACUUACCAAAUCUCACCUAGUUAAGUUACUUCUCUUGCACAAGGGAAAUAGAAUGGCCUACUUUCCAGAAAGUUACUCGGUUUGAUAAUACAAACCAAAUAAAACUCUUUUUUGCACUUUUGAGUAAGUUCUAGUUCCUUAGUCUAUUGACCCCUAACCAAAGAAAAGCAUUUUCCUUUUCUUUUUCUCUAUUUUACUUACAUUGCCCUUCCUAAGACAUAAAUUACAGCCAUGCUGAUGCGAUCCUCAAAAAUGAUGUGUUGAAACUCAUGAACGGGUUUGGUUUAUAAUCCCAAGAAA